GACCCAACCCUUAAAAAAGAGAAGAGAAUUCCAUCUUCAGUCAUAAGCCUCUCCUUCAGAACCUUCUGUGCCUUGUAGCUCUGGCCUGGUCCCAAGUCAACAGUGGUGGUGGCCCUUCGAGUCCAGUAGCGGAGGAGGGCGAACAGUAGCAGUGGAGAUAAAAUGACGAGGUAUGUUUUCUUCUGAACGAGGCAGCGCAUCAUGGACACAGAUCGAUGUCACUAAAGGACAGAUCGGACCAAUAAGACACUAGUCAGCCAUGUGUUUCAGACCUGGGUUCAAAUACAUGGGUAUUUUAUUAUUAUUUGCUUUUGAAAUACUUAUUUUCUAUGUAUCUGAGUCAUUUCAAAUAAUGUGACACAAAACCACUGCUUCUAUUGGAAGUAUUUGAAAGUAUUUUCAAAUAACUUCCUAUGAUGGCCUUCUAUUUGAAAAUAUGUUCAAAUAGAUUAUUUCAAAUACCAAAACAGGCAAUAUGUAUUUUCAAAUAUAUGCUAAUACUUUAAGUGUAUUUCAAAAUAAGCCUACAUUCCAACAUUCAACUACUGUGAUUAAAAAUAUAUAAUAAUAAUAAUAUUUACUUCCUUAGGCUACUAUGUUACACUUGUUUUACAUGAUUUGAUAUUGGUUUGACAUUCAGUUUAUUUUUCUUCACACAGUAUAUGGGAGAUUUUGCGAACACGGGCCUUUUUGUGUCUCAGGGUUAGAUUUUUAAGAUAACAUUUUAAUUUAGAUGUUUUAUUUCAUUACGUAGAGACUAAAAUAACCUUAAACUGUUUUUUCAGCUUUCAAAAUGUUUGUAUUUUUUAUUUUCUAAAGCAUUUCAUGUCUGGAUUGAACUGUUUUGCACUGUUUUUGUCCUGUCUCACAUCCAGACUUUUGACAAUCUUCUAUGUAUUACACUUACAAAAGUCUUGAUAAUUACAAAAUAUUGAAUGCACCUGUUUAAAAAAAGAGUCAAAUAAAUGGAAUCUAUAUACAUA